AUGGCAACCGCGGGCAGCCGGGCACUGAGGGCUGGAAAAUGAGGACCCGAGCCAGGUUACAGCCUUGGACUUCGAGCAGCCCAGGGAGUCUCUGCGUCCUCCAGCCCCCGCUUCCCUUCAUGUCGGAGAUGCUAAGCCCGCAGCUAAGUCUGCAAGGAGCUUUCCCCGACGCCCACAAGACCGGAAGUGCCUGGGCCCAGGUGGAGGAAGGACCCGCGUGGCCUCCUCUGCGCCCUCCCUGGCGUCCGCGCCCGUUCCGGCGCUUCUCCCGCGUCCUUCACCAUGGCAACUUCUGGCGUUGGGAGCGUGGGCCGCGAGCCAGCUGCCGGAGGCCUGGCGGCCGUGCGCCUCUGCUCCGGGCAAGCUCUCCCUGCAGGGCCCGGGCGGCGGCAGGGGGCAGUAGCGGCCCGCGAUGCUCGGAGGCUCCCUGGCACGGAGCUCCCGGGCUGGGGCGCCUGGAUCUGGAGAAGCCGAGGGCCUUGGUCACACUCAGAGCUGACGUCCAGUACGGCCCUUGCUGAGAACUCGAGUGAACAGAUCUCUACCCAGCCCCCGCCCCACGCGCGCCCAACCUGGGUCACCUCGCCCUGCCCUCAGCCACGCAGCUGGUGGCUAAGCGCGGGCUCCGGGUUCGGGCUGCCUUGA